AUUGAACGCUGGCGGCAGGCCUAACACAUGCAAGUCGAGCGGAUGAAGGGAGCUUGCUCCUGGAUUCAGCGGCGGACGGGUGAGUAAUGCCUAGGAAUCUGCCUGGUCGUGGGGGAUAACGUCCGGAAACGGGCGCUAAUACCGCAUACGUCCUGAGGGAGAAAGUGGGGGAUCUUCGGACCUCACGCUAUCAGAUGAGCCUAGGUCGGAUUAGCUAGUUGGUGGGGUAAAGGCCUACCAAGGCGACGAUGCGUAACUGGUCUGAGAGGCUGAUCAGUCACACUGGAACUGAGACACGGUCCAGACUCCUACGGGAGGCAGCAGUGGGGAAUAUUGGACAAUGGGCGAAAGCCUGAUCCAGCCAUGCCGCGUGUGUGAAGAAGGUCUUCGGAUUGUAAAGCACUUUAAGUUGGGAGGAAGGGCAGUAAGUUAAUACCUUGCUGUUUUGACGUUACCAACAGAAUAAGCACCGGCUAACUUCGUG
rnacentral:rRNA from 1 species